UGCAAGCACACGGAUCAGUUGUAGCUCUUUCCUCAGAGAACUCACCCAAGGUUUAUCAAUCUGUGGAACAAGUGGAUUUGCACGCUUAACUACGUAUUAAUCUAAGUAACCGAAAGCACUUGGUGUAGGAGAUUGAUUUAACUAAUCUAAGCAAUCUAUAUCAAAGCAUGUAGAGAGAGUAAAGGUGUGCACAAGAUAGAUAAAACGCUUGUCCUAGGGAUCUAGGAUCACUUGCAGAUGCAAUCGCCAAGAGUUAACAAAAUAGAUCUAAGUGUUAUCAUGAGUGGAUGUGAACCAAGCCCAACACGUUCCCUCCCACACACUAGUCACUACACAAUGGUACUCAACUAUCGAACAAUCCCUUCACAAUAUGAUGAAAAGACACAAAUACCCCUUAUCCCUUCCUAUCCCCUCCAUUCCCUCCAGACGCCUCCCCUCUCGAUUUCUCUCGGUCUAUCUCCUCCCAACCCUAGCUGCGGCGGCUGCAGCAUGGUGUAGGAGGCGCGACGCAGGGAUGCAACCCAGCUAGGAGACUUGGUGCGGGCGCGCAGCCCGGCCAGGCAUGGGAGUGGUAGGAUUAGGGAGGAAGAUAUGUGUUUUACGGAGAUGUGGACACAAAAGGCCGGCCACCGGAAAACUGAACUUCAAUCUGUAAGCCCAAAAGAAAAGAAAACUGGGGAACAUAAGAGAGCAAGUAAAGAAGGAAAAAUACCUUGUCUAUGGAUUACAAUUACCGGUAGUGCAUAUCUGUUAAAAUGCAUCAAGAUUUUUUUUGGCAAAUUUCUAUUCAUAUAUGCUGAAAUUUGUCUAAAUAUAUGUAGUCAAAUAAGGUUAAAAUCACAAAAGUUCUCUAAAAAGUAAGGGCAUAUUAGCAAGGGAAAACUUGUCUUCUUUGAACACUAAAAAGGUAGGGGCAUAUUCAC
rnacentral:lncRNA from 1 species